rnacentral:rRNA from 1 species
ACUCAAAGGAAUAGACGGGGACCCGCACAAGCGGUGGAUGAUGUGGAUUAAUUCGAUGCAACGCGAAAAACCUUACCUACCCUUGACAUGUCAAGAAUUUCGCAGAGAUGUGGAAGUACUCGCAAGAGAACUUGAACACAGGUGCUGCAUGGCUGUCGUCAGCUCGUGUCGUGAGAUAUUGGGUUAAGUCCCGCAACGAGCGCAACCCUUAUCAUUAGUUGCUACGCAAGAGCACUCUAAUGAGACUGCCGGUGACAAACCGGAGGAAGGUGGGGAUGACGUCAAGUCCUCAUGGCCCUUAUGGGUAGGGCCUCACACGUCAUACAAUGGUACAUACAGAGGGUUGCCAACCCGCGAGGGGGAGCUAAUCUCAGAAAGUGUAUCGUAGUCCGGAUUGCACUCUGCAACUCGAGUGCAUGAAGUUGGAAUCGCUAGUAAUCGCAGAUCAGCAUGCUGCGGUGAAUACGUUCCCGGGUCUUGUACACACCGCCCGU